rnacentral:misc_RNA from 1 species
GAAAUUUCUUUUCAGCAAAUCGAACACAUUUCUAUUUUCACUCGUUUCCAUAAAUGGAGCAACUGAAACUUAAAAAAGACAAACAAAGCAAAGGAACAACAACAAUGGUCAAUGGAUGGUUGUGGAUUAUGGGUCUUUUCAAUUGAAGCCUAGAAUUAGUGUGCAAAAAUCAGCAUCUGGCUUUCAAUCCUAUGUUAAUGUCUGAAAGAGCCCAUCUUCUGAAAUCUGUACCUGGCAUGUCAUGUCGUUGGUCGACUCUUUCAUGUGAUUGUUGGUGAGCUGAAUUCGAGAGGAAAAUCCAACUGGCGUGGAGAAUAUGGAGCAAGUCGGAAGCAACCAUGGAGUCGAAGAUCUAGAUUUCCAUCUGGGGAACUGGAGUUGAUAAAGAAAAGAAUGGAAGAGAUAAUGAAGAAUAUGUAGGGAAGACUUAAAAAGCUUUGUCAUUUCUGGAUUUUGCGUGAGAUAAUGUUUAUAGCUGAGAGAGAGGUUUCUGUUUGGGGAGUGAGAAAGUGUAGGAAAGCAGAGAGAAAAUGAGGUAUGAUGGUAGGAAUUAAUGAAUAGAGUUUUUUGUUAAGAAAGAAAUGAUUCAGGAAAAAGAGAGAGAAAUAUGUCAUAAUUUAACCUUUUUGUUAAGAGAUGGACUUUUAUUAGUAAUAAUCUAAAAAUUGGAACCACUUGCUGACAAUAUCAGAAAAAUUAAUUUUUAAUGUGCCAUGUCAGUAGUUCUAACGCUGUUAGUUAUUUUGUCAUUCAAGUGUUAACGGCACAAAACCACGUGCUAAAUUGCAACAAAAAAUUCUUUAGACCAUGAGUGCUAAAAGCGCAAAUCACAAAUACCUAAGUACACUUUCCCCUUUAAAUAUUUUAGCUUUUCGUUUUAAUUGAAAUUUAUAUUUUGUGCAUUUUUCUUAAAAUGCAUUUGCUUGUAAUAAUUUUUUUCUUCUGGAAAAUCAUUAAAUCUUUGGUCUUAUCAUUAGUCUUCGAAAAUGAUAUUUAGGAUCAUUUUUAUUCAUAUUAGUGGGCCAUCUGGAUACCUUUUCCUUCCACCUUUUUCCUUCCACUGAUCACAGGUUUCCGUUGUGAUAGGAUGAACGUGAACUGAAAAGACA